GUAGGGAAUCUUCCACAAUGGACGAAAGUCUGAUGGAGCAACGCCGCGUGAACGAUGAAGGCUUUCGGGUCGUAAAGUUCUGUUGUAAGGGAAGAACAAGUGCCGCAGGCAAUGGCGGCACCUUGACGGUACCGUGCGAGAAAGCCACGGCUAACUACGUGCCAGCAGCCGCGGUAAUACGUAGGUGGCAAGCGUUGUCCGGAAUUAUUGGGCGUAAAGCGCGCGCAGGCGGCCUCUUAAGCCUGAUGUGAAAGCCCCCGGCUCAAGCGGGGAGGGCGAUUGGAAACUGGGAGGCGUGAGUAUAGGAGAGAAGAGUGGAAUUCCACGUGUAGCGGUGAAAUGCGUAGAGAUGUGGAGGAACACCAGUGGCGAAGGCGACUCUUUGGCCUAUAACUGACGCUGAGGCGCGAAAGCGUGGGGAGCAAACAGGAUUAGAUACCCGUGUAGUCC
rnacentral:rRNA from 1 species